UUGGCAUGGACAAGCAGCUGAAAUUUUGUAUAUUUCAGCUCAUCUAGAAGGAACAACACCUUAUGAAGUUACUUGUUCUAAUGUCAGAGUCCAGUGUACUCCAGCUCCCAGAGAACUAAAUCUGAAUCCAGUGGACUUCCUGUCGUUUCAGUCUUGGUUUCCUUUUCCUGGAGUUCCUGGGACAUCAUUCUGCAAGAACUGGCAAAUGUGCUACAGAAUCCACACUCAUGGUGACCUGAUUUCUCCAUUUAUACUUUGGCUGAGUGGACAGAUGGUAGUAUGCUUAUGAGAGGAUUAUCACACAGCAAAUCCAUGUUCUUAUCCACUCUCUGUCAGAAGUUUCAGGAAGCCAUGCAUGAGACACGCAACAAACCAUACAACCCAAUGGGAAGAAACAUAUACUCUAUAUGGGAAGAGUCUACAUGGCUUACCCCUCUGGAAUUGGCCUGGGCUUCAGAAGGUAUAAUGUAGGGAUGUGUGAAUCGAUUCAGGUACAAAAUGAUAUGUGAUAUGUGGACAAAAUAAAUCACUCCUGUGCUAGCUGGCCAGAUUUGGAUCCAAAACAAAUCACCCAGAUUUCGGACCUGCAAAAUUUGUAGAUUCAGACCUCCAUUUUGUGGUGAUCUAUCUUGCUGUCUCCAUUUUAUAUCAGGAAAUUUAUUUUGAAAAUCCCGUCCUCCUAAGCUUCAGAUUGGUGACUUACAGUGUGCAGCGAUUGGCUGGCGAUUUCCCCCUGGUUCCAGAUUGGCUCGUUUUCAUGCAAAUCUUGUGUUGCCAGGGGUGACUGAUUGUUUAUUGGCUAUGGGAAGGGUCAAA